rnacentral:lncRNA from 1 species
AAAGGUAUCUUUUUUGGAGAGAGGGAGAAAAUUAAGCACACCCCAUUUUUUUGUAAUCAUGGGUUGCUCAGCCUCAAAAACAACCACCAUAGUUGCAAAACAAAAUCCAAUGGUGCCGGAGCAGUGGUGGCAUAAUAAUCAUCAUCGUCAUCCAAAUCGGCCCACGAAGUCGCAUUCAAUGGUGCCGGAGCCCAAAACACCUGAGAUUCCGAUUCAGAUUCCA